CCAGUUCCAUCCCGAACCUGGCCGUUAAGCCGUCACGGGCCCAUGGUAGUACGUUGGCAACUUCGUGCGAGAGUAGGUAUCGCCCCUU
rnacentral:rRNA from 1 species